rnacentral:lncRNA from 1 species
ACAUGUUCAACCCUGUCACUAUGGUGGCUGCAGGUAUGGUACCUGAAAUGGGAGCUUCCUUCCUCCCUCCCUUAUUUUCCUUCCUUCUUCCCUCCUUCUCUCUCUCCCUCACUUCCUUCCUUCUAACCUUCCUUCUUGUAAGACAUUUAUGAAGGAACUGACACAAGGGCUCAAGAGGCCAAAGCAGGAGGAUCACAAGUUCGAAGCCAGCCUCAGCAACAUAGUGAGACCCUAAGCAACUUAGGGAGACCCUAUCUCAAAAUAAAACAUAAAAAAGGGCUGGGGAUAUGGAUCCAUAGUUAAGUGUCCUGGGUUCAAUUCCUAGUACAAAAAAAUUAGACAUUUGUGAAGGAGAGAUGGGAGUUUUACCUAUGAAGCAAGGAAGAAAAGAGAUAUUUUGUUUUCUAUUUCUAUUUAGUUUAACCAUUAGAUUUAAGUUUUUAAAGAACCUACGCUAUCUGAUCUGAAAGUCUGAAUAUCAUGGAGCUGUUUGUUUCCAACAUAGAUUGAAAAUAAUGCUGAGAACUAUACUGGUAUUUGGUGGCCAGAAGCAUGGCCCACCCACUACCUGCAUUCUGCUUACUUUAGAGACAAUCAUCUUUCAAUUUAGUAUAGAGCCCAGUGACUUUGCUCAAGAACAUAUUGAUUUUUCUUUAUCCAAGAAGUGUAGAUUAAGUUACAACUCUCAUAGUCUAAUAAUUUUACCUCUAAACAUUCUUGUAUUGGGGUAUAAGUUUUUUUAUAAGCUUUUGGGGUUCACUCUAUAUAUCCAAACCACAGCAAGUAGAUAGGUAAGAGCUCUGGAGUCACCCAACCAUGGACGGAACCUCUGAGACCACCAUGAACCAAAAUAACCUUUUCAUCCUCUAAGUUGUUCUUGUCAGGUAUUUUAAUCACAGAGAUGCAAAGCUGACUAACACACCAUUUCAGGUAAAGAACCAUGAGUAGUAGUCAUGCUCCUUGAAGGCAAAGGGAUAUAGAAUGAAUAAUGAAAGGAGGUAAUAAUAAAUACCAGCUACAAUUAUGUGACCAAGCAAAAUAUUGUUUUCUUUCCUCUUUUUUCCUUUAUUUUGUAACAUAAUGUGUAUUGACUUUAUAUCUUAGUAUUUAAGUGUUGUUAAUUUUCCAUCAUAAUCCUAAAUUCAAAAUGUGAAAUAGAAAGUUAAUAUCCCUCAAAGAUGUUACCUACCCUGUAUUCUGGGGAAGGGGCUAAUGCAUUUUUAGUUGUAUGCAGGAAAGAUAUAUCAUAUUACAUGGAAUUAUGAUCUUGUUAUUUAAGCUACCUAAUGGGUUAACAUGUCUUUUGAAAAUUGUCCUAUGCAAAUUUGAUGAUUGUGUUUUUUCUCACCUUUGCCCAGCAUUUUAACUUCUAAAGAGAAGUCACACCUAAAUAGUGAUAGUAACUCCAAGAGUCAACUAAUCCAAGAAAAAGGAACAAGAUAAAUAUCAGUCUUAGACCAAAUUGUUCCUUUUCUUGAGAUUUACAGAACAUUUGGUAACCUUUAGAUAACAUUAGAAUGUGUGUCAAAGAAAUGGACCAUUGCAGAAUAAUGAUUACUCUGGUGCCUACCCAUCUGUGACUUAAAGUACAUGCUCUUAAAUUUCUUAUAUAAGCUCUUCAUUUACAGUUACUAGCUAAGCUGACCAUUUAGGCUGCCAUUUUUAGAUUAGCUAGCUCAUUAUUAGAAAGCCCUUUAUCACCACCUUGCCUCUCAAAUAACUGAGUUGUGUGGUGAGCUGGCUGAGCAUUUGCAUAGUAGCAUUAUUAUCUUUAUUUGGAUACUAAGUAUUAACACCCCUGGAGGCACCAAGGUCAGAGGUACUGGAGUUCCCAGGCUCAGGACCUCCAGCUAUGAGCCCAGGACUCGGGAGGGGCCGGCAGGAAGGCUGAGAGCUGGCCUUUCCAGAGGAAGUUACAGUGUAAUUGAUGGGCAGUUGCCCUGACUGCCAACUCCAUCUAGUCUGGAAAAGAUGGAAGAAACAUCAUGCUGAUUAAUAACUCAGUUCAAGUAACUGUGAGAAUCCAACCAUCUUGGUCCAGUCAAGAAAGCUGGUAUACACUCAAACCAGCUUUGUCCCACGGGCAGGAGGUUCUAAGGGGGUGGCCAGUACAUAAACCAAAACCAAUGAAAACAGAAACAGAUCUAGCUCCAAAGCUGUGAAAGAAUUGACAUAGUGACAGGGUCACAGGGAUCAGAGGCUCUGACAUUUCUUUUAAAAACAAAUCACAUAAAAUCCAAAUAAUUGGGGAAAAAGAAUAAGCACAUAAUUAUCUACUCUGUGGUAAAAAUUUUUUGCACAGUACCAAACAUUAAGACAAACAUAAAAAAUACACAAUAUUUUAAUAAAGAGCCAUGACCUUUAAUAUAUAAGACCUUUGACGUUUUCAAAUAAAAUAAAAAAGUAACAGUCAUUAAGAAAAUUAAGAAAAAUGAACAAUUUACUAAAGAAAUCCAGGUAGAGAAUAAGUAUGUAUGAUGUAGAAGUAUUUUCCAUUCCCUAGUCUUCAAAGAAAAACAACAAUUAGAUGUGCAAAUAAAAACAAUAAGUAGAUAGUAUCCCAUCAGAUUAAGGGAAAUUAAGAGAAUUACUAAUGCACAAGUUUAAGAAGAUGUUAAGAAAUAAUCACUGUCAUACUGUAUUGGUGGAUUUGCUAAUUGCUAAAGACAUUUUUGGGAGCAAUUUGGUAAUAUUUGUUAGAAUUUAAAAUUCACAAUACAUUUGAUCCAGCAAUUCCAUUCUGAGAAUUCUACAAUCUAGAAAUACAAGAUUUUCAGGGGGGCUGAUAAAUGUGACUCUGUACAUAAUAAGAAACAUUGGAAAUAGCCUAAAUACCCAUUGAAGGAGGAUUAGUAAAGUAACAAUAGAAUACAUUCUACAGAAUACUAUUCAGCUAGUAAAAGUCACAAGUAAACCAUAUGCAUGCUAAUGGAAGGAGCUAAGAUUAAUUAUGUAGAACAAAGUAAGCAUAGAGUAAUGCAUUUGGUCUGAUGGUCCUUUAAGCCAAGUCAAUCAAUCAUCAAUCAACACACACACCACUACAAGUGCUGGUUGGUGCCACUGAGUGUUUACCUGAAGAUAAACCCUGACAGGAGUUAGCUCUGAUGCGGCAAGGAGGACAACCGCCCCCAGCAGUCACUCUCUGACUCUGAAGUUGGCUAUGGUGGUACAGCAGAAUACCACAUGCAGAUUUGGUUGCAUGUGGGAGUANAAAGUAGUCAUCCAGACCCUUUCAUAUUGAUUUAUCUUGCAUAGGGGACAAUAAUCUAGGAGCUGGAAACUUUGGCUAUUCUUCCUUUUCCUAUGUAAGUUUUUAGUACUGUCUGAGUCUAAAAGUGGCUCAUUAUUCUCUGGCCAUGGCUUUGCUCUUAGUACCUUCUCUGCCUUGAGUUCCUGUGAUGAGCAACCUGGACUUGGCCCCUGUCCCCAUGGGCCCAGUUCUCUCAGUGCCAACACUGAUGACAGCUUCACCAGAGCUGACACAGGACAAUGUAUUUAUAUUAGCCCUUGGCAUUCUCUCACUUUACCUGAGCCACUACUCAUCCUUCCCUUUGCCCCUUUCCCCACAUGCCUGGAGGUCACACCCUGGGGUUAAUAGUCACGGAUUGUAAAGAGACUUCAUAUCUCUUUUGGAUGGAAUGCCAGUGUGCCAAGAUGUGUUGCAGUCUGGAGCAAAUUCUGGCUUCCGAUAUUCUGCAAGGAUUCUCAGAAUUAUGAUUUGUGAAGAGCAGCUGCAAAUAUGGUCUCUCAUUUCAAAGUGGGUCCAUUUUCCUUAUGAAUGGCUUAUUAACAACAACAACAACAACAAAAAAGUGUGGACAGAAACAUUUGUGUGUAGACAGAGAUGCGAAAUCCAUGCACACAGAGAUAUGGCCUCCCUUUCAUGGUGUGCUCUUUUAUGGAGUGUCCUGACAGAUAUCUUCAGAGUGUUUGUAAAUUUGCCUCUAAUUUUGAAGUAUUACUAAGCAGCAGUUGACAUAAAACUGCUUGCGUUUGAUUUAUGAAAGUUAUGGAGGGAGAGGCUGGCUCAGUUGUUCCCUUGUUAAGUGAAGCUUUUACAUGUUCCUUGGAACUGCUUUGUGGUGAUCUUGGAGCAGAGCAGAGGAAAGAAAACUUAAAAUACAAUGCCCUGCUUAGCUCUGUGGACACAUUUUGAGCUUGAUUUGCCUUUAUGGAAACGACCUAUAAUUCCUUCCAUGUGUGUCUCUUUGAUGGGUUGCCGGGCACUUGAAGCAUCACUUCUGCUUGAUCCUCACAAUGGACAAGGGGACAUAAAUUAUUAUGUAAAUUAUUUCUUUACUUCAUUAUGGAUGGCAAGGAGUAUGCACUGGACUGAAUGUCUGCUCCACUCAAAUUCAUAUGAUGAAACCCUAACUCCCAAGGUGAUAGUAUUUGGAGAUGGAGGGUUUUGGAGGUGAGCAGGUCAUGAGGGGAGAGUCCUCAUGAUCAGAAUUUAUUCCCUUAUAAAAAAGAACUUAAGAGAACUUUGUUGCCUCUUCCACCAAGGUACCAUCUGUGAACCAGGAAGCAGGAUCUCACCAGACACCAAAUCUGUCAGCACCUUGAUCUUGGACUUCUUGGCCUCUAGAACCAAGUAUAAUUUAUUUCUGCUGUUUAUAAGCUGCCCUGUUUAUGGAAUUUUAUCAUAACAGCCUGAAUGGAUGAUGACAGGGUUUAAGUCAUGUUAUUUACAUUUUACAGAAAAGCAAGCAGGUUUAGGAUGGAAUUGGGACCUGCCCACACGUCCGGAAAGGAAAAACUGGGUCCAAAGGAACUCAUGAUGAUGAGCAACUAGACACAACCUGGCUCGGGAUCCACAUGAGGAAAUGUCGCCGGAACAUCAAGGUUUGGCAUCAGAAGAGAGAACCUGACAGCAGCAGGAGGUUCCAUUAGAAACCUCAACAGAUGCACUUUAGGGCUCUUUCCUAAUUAUCAAGGACAUCUUAGGAAAAACUUCUGGCGAAAAUUAGACAAAAAUGGAUUCAAUUGUCCUGAAGACCAAAGUAAACAUCUGUGCCAGACUUCAAUGCCCAUAAAUACUUCACCACCCACAAAUCUCACUGGCUUAGUGAAGUAAUUGGGACAGAUUGAAAAGAACAUUUUUAUUUUUAUUCAAAAAUUUGGAGGGUACUGCGAAAUUGAACCUGGGGUGCUUUACCAUUGAGUUACAUCCACAGCCCUUUCUAUGUUUUAUUUUGGAAAAAGAUCUCACUAAGUUGCCCAGGCUGGGCUCAUACUUGUGCCCCUUCUGCCUCAGCCUCCUGAACAGUUGGGAUUACAGUUGUUCCUCUGUCUGAAAGGGUCAUUUUUUAGAUGAACAAGUUAAUAUCUUGCUUCGGAGGCUGCUUUAAAACCUGUGAUACAGAGCUGGAGGUUCAAGUUCCAUCACCUAACUGCAAGGACAUUUAGUUGUUUCUUUCUGUCCAGAGCUGGCCAGGCAGCCUCUCUGCUUUUGUGGACCGAGGGGGCUGGCAGCACCAACUCACCUGUUUCUUAUCUGCCACUCGCACUUGCCUCUCUCUUCUGCUUAGUUGCUCUCUCUUGACGGUUGUGAGGUCCUCAUCACUUAGGUCAUAUCCCUUUCCCCAGGUGUUAUGACCUCCAGGCUGGACUGGCAGAGUUGUUCCCAGCACAGAUGAACUACAAGAGCCCCAGGAAUAUCCCACCACUCCCAGAGGCAUCUCUUAUCAUGUACAGUUUAGGAUUACCAAGCACACCUGGGCAGUCAUUCACCUUGGAGCCAGUUUCAUCCCAUGGGAAUCCCUCCAGGGAGCUACCAUCUCUCCUGAGCUCUACAUUUCAUGAUGGAGCAAGUAAGGAAGAAAACAAUGGGGGUAUCAAUAGCUUUGUGAAGGCAUGAUUUGUAAUUAUUAAUUACAAGACAAUGGUAUUUCAGUGAUUUUUUAAAAAUUAUUAUUUUUUAACAUCCUGUGAGGAAAACAGUAGAGACCUUGCAGUCAGGAGGGUUUGUAGGUUUACCCUGCAGAAACCUACACAGGCACAGUGAUCAAUUCGACUUCUCACUGGCUAUACAUCCUUAGAUCACAUAGAUAGUCUUCCCAUUACUGUUUAGGGAUGGGCUGAGGGUGAUCUCUUGCACUUAAUAUGUGAUCAUUUCAAAAGUACAACAUUUCAUUAUUUGUGUAUAAGGGCAGCAAGAUAAGAAAACCUCAGAACAACCACAGUAAAAUGUCCCCAUGGAAACGCCCCACACCCUCCUCAGGCUAAAAUCUCAGUUGACAGUCUCUGUCCUCUCUCCCUGGUCCACAGGGUGACUCUCCAGGCAGACUAAGCCUGUCAACACUCAGCUGCUCUUUAGAAAAAUAGCCCAGGACAUUCUAAAAUAAUUGAAACCUCAGGAAGAGCUGGACAACAUCACAGUGACCCUCACCUCUGACCUCCACACACUUUCUAGAAGGUUUUUUUUUUUGUCAUGUUAUCAUUCUCUUGUUUUUAAAAAUCUCUUUCCAUCCUAUGAGAUCUUAUAAUGGAGAACUAUUAGAGGUGUUUUUGCACAGGCCCACAUCUCUAUGUUGGAUCCUCAAACAUAGAGAAACACUAGGUAGGCCCCACGACCAGGGAUUGCUUGUGCUGUAAAAUGCAAAUGACCUUCUCCUUUCAUACCUGUAUACAUGUUCUAUCUCCUCCGAGACCUUUGUCCACACGAGAAGUGUGGGAUUAGAAUAUUCUGGUCUCAAGUGAACCUAUUCUUCAGCUCAGUGAUCCUGGGGAGGAUCCUUCUGCUCUGGCCAAACCACAGCCGGCCAUGAGCAUACCUGGCCCUGGAGUUGGGGGUUCCUCCUCACUCUCUGGGUCCCAAGAUCCUAGAAUGGUGUAUCUCAUGCACUAGUUAUUGGUUCAGUGAACAAAGUUCUUUUAUCCCAAAUCACAGCACAUGUGUUUCACUAGUUCCAAUCAAGGCCAUUCAGUGAGAACUUGGGGCCACGUUCCAGCCAAGAGAGCUAUCACUUAGAUUAAUUAAUAAGAAUCAGAGCCUGUGCUCACCCCAGGUCUGGCUUCUUGUCCUGGGAAUCAUGCUAUGAGACCAGGAAUCUGCAAUGGUGGGUCGGAAGCACCCAGGGUGUUUAUUUUUGACGAGGACAACAGAAUUUGUAGUGUUCCCUAGAAAACUUGUAUCCUUAAACUAAUCAAUCUGAACAUCAGAAUCCCUUGUGAGCCCUAAUUGUUGAGCUCCUCCCAGGGUAGGUCUGAAGCAGCCCCAGGACUUGCAUUUCUAAGACAUUCCCAGAUGAUGCUGAUACACCUGUAAUGGGCACCACACUUUGAAGGCAGCUGAAGUAAACCCACACCCAGCACUUGGAUGUUUCAAAGCCUCGGCAUCCCUUCCCCACAAUACCAAAGAACUUUUGAGAGUGGAGUCAGCUCCUUAGAGUAGAUCAGAAAUGAACAAUCCAUACAUCAUGGAUUGAAAUAAUAUAAAAUUAUAUAUCAUAGCAUAGCAGCAAAUCAUACUUUUAGAAUAUUGCAUGACUGAAGGCACAAGUCCCCUCCCCUUGAGGAACAGACCAACGAGAAAGUAAACAAAAGGUGGAAUUGCUCUUUAAUGCAAAGAUUUGGGUUUCAAGAAGUAUCUGGCCAAAUAACCACUUUUACAACCAGCAUGAAAUAUAAGGAGACCAUUUGACCUAUCUCAGUUAUCACAGACACCAAGCCAAGCCACAGUAAAAUGAAUCUGAGUUUUCCAAUCUUGGAAACAGCCAGAAAUGCUAUUUAGAUUAAUUUUAUUUGAGAGUUGGCUAAAAUUGUUCACAUUCUCAAAUACCUCAGGAUAAACAUCCUAGCAUUGCCAUACAAAUCUGUAUUCUCUAUAUUAGAUUCAAAUAGGCCAUUUGGGGGAGAUGAAAAUUUAUUGAUUGAUUUUUGCAAAUUACUUACUAAAUAUGUUUACACACAAACAAUUAGGCUUCUCUUUCUCAAUCAAACUAGAUUUGAUCUCAAUCAAACUAAAUUUUAGCAAUUUUUGGAAUUGCAUUCCAUUGUAUUGCCGUCUUUAGCUACAUACAAGAUUCAAUUAGUAUUUUAUUGUGGAAAUCCUAACAUCCCUUAUAGAAUAAAGAACAAUAUUUAAAAUGAUAUUUUACCUCUUUUGUAAGAAGCAACAGGAAUCAACAUUUCAAAGCACAGUCCAGUACUAGCAUUGGAGUACAUAUGCAAUAUUUUCCCUAAACAGAAUAUAUUCUAGUGCAAACAAAUAAACCUUAUUGUCUACCAUAGUGUGACCUUCAAAAGUUGGAUACACAGAAUGCCUGUAGAAUAAAUUAUCAUAUAUUUAAGAUAUAAGAUUAGAACUGAUAGAAAUUCUGAGGAAAAUUGCCCUAGCUGAAAGCUUAUGAAUUCAUCUGAUCCUCAUACUAGUAGCUGAACAAUGAAGUUUUAAAUUCUUGAUGAUCAGUUCAAGACAAUUGAAUUCAUGCUUUCAGAAACUGCUAACCUAGAACAAUACCUAGAAUAACUCCCUGACCAAAGUUAGAUUUUGUUCAGAUAUCUACUACUUCCUUAGGGGACCCAGAGGUGUGGUCUCCACCCAGUGGGCCGGGAGAGGGAAAUGUGCUUCAUCCAGGAUGUUGAUGGAACGCUCAGUAGUGAAGGCAAUGGGUUGGGGUGGGUCCUGAUCCAGUUCUGAUCAACAUGUCACAAAGAGAUGGCUGCUGAGGCUUCUAGAAAAGCUCUUCUCACUCUUCAGGAGCCAUGUGAAGGGAGAGUCUGUAUUUGUUCCUGGACAUUGGAUGUUAAAUGUCCGGAUUUGACUCCCAGAACUACUAGAGCUCUCUUGCAGCUAUGCAGGAGGCCAGUCUGGGGCACACUCAGCUCUUACAGG